GACGAACGCUGGCGGCGUGCUUAACACAUGCAAGUCGAACGAAGUGGCGAACGGGUGAGUAACGCGUAAUCAACCUGCCAUUCAGAGGGGGACAACAGUUGGAAACGACUGCUAAUACCGCAUACUGAAGGUAGGGAUUCAGUCUGAUUAGCUAGGUGGAGUGGGAACGGCCCACCAAGGCGAUGAUCAGUCGACGGUCUGAGAGGAUGAACGGCCACAUUGGGACUGAGACCCGGCCCAGACUCCUACGGGAGGCAGCAGGGGGGAAUCUUCCGCAAUUGACGAAAGUCUGACUGAGCAACGCCGGGGGAGGGAUGACGGCCUUCGGGUUGGAAAGCUCUGUUAAUCGGGACGCGGUACCGGAAUAGAAAGCCACGGCUAACUACGUGCCAGCAGCCGCGGUAAUAC
rnacentral:rRNA from 1 species